rnacentral:rRNA from 1 species
GACGAACGCUGGCGGCGUGCUUAACACAUGCAAGUCGAACGGAAAGGCCCUGCUUUUGUUGGGUGCUCGAGUGGCGAACGGGUGAGUAACACGUGAGUAACCUGCCCUUGACUUUGGGAUAACUUCAGGAAACUGGGGCUAAUACCGGAUAGGAGCUCCUGCUGCAUGGUGGGGGUUGGAAAGUUUCGGCGGUUGGGGAUGGACUCGCGGCUUAUCAGCUUGUUGGUGGGGUAGUGGCUUACCAAGGCUUUGACGGGUAGCCGGCCUGAGAGGGUGACCGGCCACAUUGGGACUGAGAUACGGCACAGACUCCUACGGGAGGCAGCAGUGGGGAAUAUUGCACAAUGGGCGGAAGCCUGAUGCAGCAACGCCGCGUGCGGGAUGACGGCCUUCGGGUUGUAAACCGCUUUCGCCUGUGACGAAGCGUGAGUGACGGUAAUGGGUAAAGAAGCACCGGCUAACUACGUG